AAAAAAUUUACGUUGAUAGACAUUUGCUCAUCUCCAGCAGGGGCUGUUGGGAAUGAAUGCUGUGCUGUUGCUGCCAAUCCUGGAAUGAAGUGAGACUCCCCUCCCCAGCCUCCUGACAGAGUCAUCUCAUUUCUACUUUGAAAAAUUAAAGAACAAAGUUCAAAAUGGAUUUUGCAUAUGGAAAGAUGAAAUCACUUGCAUCCAUACAAAUUUAUCAGGGCUGUGUGAGAAUGAUCUGAAGAGAUACCAAAAAGCACAGCAGGCUUACACAUAGGCAGGUACGUACUGUGAAGUCCUCUUUGUAAAUUCUAGAGUGUGGCUUGUAAUUUAUAAGACACAUUUUACUUUAUUUAGGUUGUAACAACUAGAAUCUUCCUUUCCCAAUAGCAAGCAAUUCCAGGCAGGGGAUCUAAGCCAUCAUUUCAUUUCUCCG
rnacentral:lncRNA from 10 species